CGCGAUGCCAACCUUGUCCUCGGGAGUGCCUCCGCUGCCACUCCAUCGUCUUCUCUGACGCCAUCCCCUUCCCCUCGACAAGAUCAUCUCGAUCUAUCCCACUCAGGACCUCGCCUUGCUGCACCCCCUUAUCGCUUGCUCCUACUGCUCUGGAUCUGACUUUUGGUGGCUGGCAUCGGCCAUUCAUGCCUCGCUGCCCUGCAAGAUCCAUCGCAUGCGGUGACGGGUACAAUACAUACGCCGCAUGCGAUGACGGCCUUUUUGAAAAAAGGAUGAUUUGGAAUAAUGUGUACAAGAAAGGCUUAGUUGAUGUGAUGCAUGAUCACAAAGAUAAUCCAAAAUUCAAAGGUCAAAAUGGUUGGAAUCGUGAUGGAUGGAAUAGUAUCACUACCAAGUUCAUGAAAAGUCCCUCUAUCUCAUUUCUCUAAACAAGAACUGCAAUAGAAGGAGAGAGAGCUUAAAGGAUACUACAAGGUAAUAAGGGAUUCAAGAAAAGAAAGCUGGGUUGGUUGGAAUGACACCCUAUGCAUGGUACUAGCUGAACUAGAAGUUUGGCCAAGGAUGAUUUGUGCUCACCCAAAGGUAUCAAAGUUUCGCAACAGGUCAUUCCCUCUUUUUUAUAGUUUAGAAGGGCUAUAUGAAGGUAGUGUGGCUACCGGAGAGUUAAAUUUCACAUCAACUGCUACUGAUCUUCCUCCACCUUCUACUCCAUCUAGAAGU
rnacentral:misc_RNA from 1 species